rnacentral:rRNA from 1 species
UACAGAGGUCUCAAGCGUUGUUCGGAUUCAUUGGGCGUAAAGGGUGCGUAGGCGGCGCGGUAAGUCGGGUGUGAAAUCUCGGAGCUUAACUCCGAAACUGCAUUCGAUACUGCCGUGCUUGAGGACUGGAGAGGAGACUGGAAUUUACGGUGUAGCGGUGAAAUGCGUAGAUAUCGUAAGGAAGACCAGUGGCGAAGGCGGGUCUCUGGGCCGGAACUGACGCUAAGGAGCGAAAGCGUGGGGAGCGAACAGG